UCUGCAUCCUUAGGGUUGUAGAAGGACUCAUUCAAUAUUUGAAUGAUCUCUUCUGGUUGCGCAUCUUCGAACUUACGACUAAGUUCAUCAUUCAUGGCUGCCCUCAUCACACAGCGCAUAGUCGUGCAGUCAUUGAGCCACUUCAUAUAAGUAUCUCUCACAGCACGAGGAGCAUUGACUAUAGAUUCUUCAGGUGCCUGGUCUGUAAGGACGUACAAAAAUUUUUCAUGCUCCAAGAC
rnacentral:lncRNA from 1 species